rnacentral:rRNA from 1 species
AAGACCUUGCGCUUUUGGAGCGGCCGAUGUCUGAUUAGCUUGUUGGUGAGGUAAAAGCUUACCAAGGCUUCGAUCAGUAGCUGGUCUGAGAGGACGGCCAGCCACACUGGGACUGAGACACGGCCCAGACUCCUACGGGAGGCAGCAGUGGGGAAUUUUGGACAAUGGGGGCAACCCUGAUCCAGCCAUGCCGCGUGAGUGAAGAAGGCCUUCGGGUUGUAAAGCUCUUUCAGCCGGAACGAAACGGUUACGGUUAAUACCCGUGACUACUGACGGUACCGGAAGAAGAAGCACCGGCUAACUACGUGCCAGCAGCCGCGGUAAUACGUAGGGUGCGAGCGUUAAUCGGAAUUACUGGGCGUAAAGCGUGCGCAGGUGGUUUUGUAAGUCAGAUGUGAAAGCCCCGGGCUCAACCUGGGAACU